UACGAGGGGUGCAAGCGUUGUCCGGAAUCAUUGGGCGUAAAGAGCGCGUAGGCGGUCCGAUAAGUCGGCUGUGAAAGUCAGAGGCUCAACCUCUGAAAGCCGGCCGAUACUGUCGGACUAGAGUCCGGAAGAGGCGAGUGGAAUUCCCGGUGUAGCGGUGAAAUGCGCAGAUAUCAGGAGGAACACCGAUGGCGAAGGCAGGUCUCUGGGCAUUAACUGACGCUGAGGAGCGAAAGCAUGGGGAGCGAACAGG
rnacentral:rRNA from 1 species